rnacentral:rRNA from 1 species
GACGAACCGUGCGAUCGUUAUUCGGAAUCACUGGGCUUAAAGGGUGCGUAGGCGGGUUGCCAAGUCUGUGGUGAAAUCCUCCGGCUUAACCGGAGAACUGCCGUGGAUACUGGCGACCUCGAGGGGUGUAGGGGCUUGCGGAACUGUGCGUGGAGCGGUGAAAUGCGUUGAUAUGCACAGGAACUCCGGUGGCGAAAGCGGCGAGCUGGACACCUUCUGACGCUGAGGCACGAAAGCCAGGGGAGCGAACAGG